AUGGAAGGAGGAGGAGCCAUCCCGGCGGGUGCGGGCAAAGCGGCCUAUGGCGAUGGGAUGCACAAGAGUCCACUUCAUCCACAGCCACAGCCCACCGUCGACGCCCGCCUGGCCGAUGCUGAACAAGAGCCAUGUGGGACUGUAAUAGUUCCUCAAAUCAUCAUAGUUAAAGGUGGACAGGAUGUGGCAAUGGAAGUCAAGUCGUAUGGUGGGAAUGGUUGGGCAGUUUUUAUCAUGUCUGCCGAGGGCGCCGUAUCCAAUGUGACACUGCAUCAACCAGCUUCUCCGCUUGAAACAGUUAUGCAUAAGGGUUGUUUUGACAUUGUCUCCAUGACCGGCUCGUAUCUGCCGUCAAAAACUGAUGGAGUGAGCUCUCUAAAGGGUGGGUUCGCCAUUUCGCUUGUCGGUGCUGAUGGCCGCAUCUUCGGCGGUGGGUUAGCAGGACCUCUGAUUGCAGCAUCAUCUGUUCAGGUGAUCAUUGGAAGGUUUGCAGCUGAUGAAAAAGAGGACAUCAAGCAGGAUGUGGCCAGUGGAACUGAACCGAGUGAUUCUCCGAAUGGAUCCUCAAGUGGUCCAGGAAGCCCAUCAAACUAG
rnacentral:rRNA from 1 species